rfam:Pseudomonas fluorescens HK44 plasmid pTTK21 pContig1, whole genome shotgun sequence, complete sequence.
CUCGCUAUGCGACCAGCGAUAGCCUAACAAGACAUGCAUCACUGGUAACGGUGGGGUGUGAAGCUCCUGCAACAAUGUAGCCCCUUGAUGUGUGUAUUUGCUGCGAGGUGAAGCACAGAUGCUCGGAGCCGUACCGGCUUGUGGCG